GUCGAACGCUUUGUCUUUAACUGAUAUGAAGAGCUUGCUCUGAUUUGAUUCCAUUUGACAAAGAGUGGCGAACGGGUGAAUAACACGUGGGUAACCUACCUCUUAGCAGGGGAUAACAUUUGGAAACAAGUGCUAAUACCGUAUAAUACCAACAACCGCAUGGUUGUUGGUUGAAAGAUGGUUCUGCUAUCACUAAGAGAUGGACCCGCGGUGCAUUAGCUAGUUGGUAAGGUAACGGCUUACCAAGGCAAUGAUGCAUAGCCGAGUUGAGAGACUGAUCGGCCACAAUGGGACUGAGACACGGCCCAUACUCCUACGGGAGGCAGCAGUAGGGAAUCUUCCACAAUGGGCGCAAGCCUGAUGGAGCAACGCCGCGUGUGUGAUGAAGGGUUUCGGCUCGUAAAACACUGUUAUAAGAGAAGAACGGCACUGAGAGUAACUGUUCAGUGUGUGACGGUAUCUUACCAGAAAGGAACGGCUAAAUACGUGCCAGCAGCCGCGGUAAUACGUAUGUUCCAAGCGUUAUCCGGAUUUAUUGGGCGUAAAGCGAGCGCAGACGGUUAUUUAAGUCUGAAGUGAAAGCCCUCAGCUCAACUGAGGAAUGGCUUUGGAAACUGGAUGACUUGAGUGCAGUAGAGGAAAGUGGAACUCCAUGUGUAGCGGUGAAAUGCGUAGAUAUAUGGAAGAACACCAGUGGCGAAGGCGGCUUUCUGGACUGUAACUGACGUUGAGGCUCGAAAGUGUGGGUAGCAAACAGGAUUAGAUACCCUGGUAGUCCACACCGUAAACGAUGAGUGCUAGAUGUUCGAGGGUUUCCGCCCUUGAGUGUCGCAGCUAACGCAUUAAGCACUCCGCCUGGGGAGUACGA
rnacentral:rRNA from 1 species